rnacentral:rRNA from 1 species
AGUGAAACAGCGCAGGAACCGGAGGAAAAGAAAGAGCAAUCGAUUCCGUGAGUAGUGGCGAGCGAAAACGGAAGAGCCCAAGCCGGGGGAUUUAUUCCCCGGGGUUGUAGGACCCCGCUGUGGGACCGGAGAGGAUAGGUGAAGCAUUUGGAAAGAUGCGACAGAGAGGGUGAGAUCCCCGUAACCGAAAUCCUCGAAGGCCCUAGGGAGUUCCUGAGUAGCACGGGACACGUGAAACCCCGUGUGAAUCUGCGCAGACCACUGCGUAAGGCUAAAUACUAACUAGCGACCGAUAGUGAACAAGUACCGUGAGGGAAAGGUGAAAAGUACCCCUGUGAGGGGAGUGAAAUAGAACCUGAAACCAUGUGCCUACAAGGUGUAAGAGCAGCCCCGUGCUGUGAUUGCGUGCCUUUUGCUUAAUGAGUCUACGAGUUAGUGUCUGUGGCAAGCUUAAGAUCUUCUGGAUCGAAGGCGUAGCGAAAGCGAGUCCGAACAGGGCGACAUUAGUUGCAGGCGCUAGACCCGAAGCGGAGGCGACCUACCCAUGGCCAGGUUGAAGCUACAGUAAAAUGUGGUGGAGGACCGAACCGUUGUGUGUUGAAAAACGCUCGGAUGAGCUGUGGGUCGGAGUGAAAGGCUAUUCAAGCCCCGUGAUAGCUGGUUCUCCUCGAAAUGCAUUUAGGUGCAGCGUUGCGUGUUGAUGAGUGGGGGUAGAGCACUGAAAGGGCUAGGGGGCAUACCCGCCUACCAACCCCUAUCAAACUCCGAAUACCAUUCAAUAGAGCGCAGCAGUGAGACAGUGGGGGAUAAGCUUCAUUGUCGAAAGGGAAACAGCCCAGAUCAGCAGCUAAGGUGCCAAAAUCAUGCUAAGUGGAAAGGAGGUGGGGUUUCUUAGACAGUGAGGAUGUUGGCUUAGAAGCAGCCACCAUUUAAAAAAUGCGUAAUAGCUUACUCAUCGAGAGACCCUGCGCCGAAAAUGAUUGGCGAUAAGCAUGAUACCGAAGCUCUGGAGGUCAUUCUCCUGCGGGGGAGUGGCGUGGUAGAGGAGCAUAGUCAGUUGGAUUGAAGCGGAAGGGCGACCGACCGUGGACUACUGACUAGAGAGUAUGUAGACAUUAGUAACGAUAAGCCGGGUGAAAUCCCCGGCCGCCGUAAACCCAAGGUUUCCCGGGCAACGUUUUUCGUCCCGGGGUUAGUCUGGACCUAACCCGAGGCCGAUAGGCGUAGGGGAUGGAAAGCUGAUUAAUAUUUCAGCACCUGCAAAGUGGAUGGGGACGCUUUUUGAAUUGCAACCAAGUUAUUUAAUUCUGAGGGGAAGCUUCGGCUGAACCGUAUUGCAUGAAGAAGAGCCAAGAAAAGCCACCACGAUUAAACGCAGCCAGUACCGUAAACCGACACAGGUGGGUGGGUAGAGUAUACCAAGGCGCAAGAGUGAAACCUGGUCAAGGAACUCGGCAAAAUAGCUCCGUAACUUCGGGAUAAGGAGUGCCCCUCUUCGGAGGGGCCGCAGUGAAAUGGGUCAACCGACUGUUUAGCAAAAACACAGCAUUCUGCCAAGGCGCAAGCCGAUGUAUAGGAUGUGACACGUGACCAAUGCCAAAAGAUUACGAUGAGAUGUUAGCCCUUGAGGCGAAGCUUCGAGUCCAAGUCCUGGUGAAUGUCGGCCGUAACUAUAACGGUCCUAAGGUAGCGAAAUUCCUUGUCGGGUAAGUUCCGACCUGCACGAAUCGUGCAACGAGUUGACCACUGUCUCGACCAGGAGCUCAGUGAAAUUGUAGUGCCGGUGAAGAUGCCGGCUACCCGCAGAAGGACGGAAAGACCCUAUAGACCUUAACUGUAAGCUGUUACUGGUUAUUUGAUUUUAAUGCUCAGCAUAAGUGGGAGACUUUGAAGGGUGCGUUUAGGCGCAUCUGGAGUCGCCAGUGAGAUACCACCCUUUGACAUUGGAUAAUCUAACCCCGAGCCGUAAUCCGGCCGUGGGGACCGUGGCAGCCGGUCAGUUUUACUGGGGCGGUAUCCUCCUAAAGAGUAACGGAGGAGCGCGAAGGUUGGUUCAGCACGGUCGGUAACCGUGUGUCGAGCGUAAAGGCACAAACCAGACUAACUGUGAGACCUACAAGUCGAGAAGAUACGAAAGUAGGCCUUAGUGAUCCGGCGGUAGAAAGUGGAAUUGCCGUCGCUCAACGGAU